rnacentral:rRNA from 1 species
AGAAUCAGCGCUGGCGGCGUGCCUCAGACAUGCAAGUCGAACGAUUAAAGCUCUCUUCGGAGAGUGCAUAGAGUGGCGCACGGGUGAGUAACACGUAAGUAAUCUACCUUUGAGUGGGGAAUAACGUUCGGAAACGGACGCUAAUACCGCAUAAUGCAGCGGCAUCGCAAGAUGACAGUUGUUAAAGGAGCAAUCCGACUUAAAGAGGAGCUUGCGGCAGAUUAGCUUGUUGGUAAGGUAACGGCUUACCAAGGCUACGAUCUGUAUCCGGUCUAAGAGGACGGUCGGACACACUGACACUGAAUAACGGGUCAGACUCCGUACGGGAGCAGCAGUCGGUAAUUUGGGCAAGUGGGGAACCUGACCAGCAACGCGCGU